CGAUUAACUCCGCCUGUAGCUAUUCUAGAGUUACUGUCGGUCCCAAGCCCGGGUAAAAGAGGAGGGUUGG
rnacentral:ribozyme from 2 species